rnacentral:rRNA from 1 species
UGCAGUCGAGCGGAUGAGUGGAGCUUGCUCCAUGAUUCAGCGGCGGACGGGUGAGUAAUGCCUAGGAAUCUGCCUGGUAGUGGGGGAUAACGUUUCGAAAGGAACGCUAAUACCGCAUACGUCCUACGGGAGAAAGUGGGGGAUCUUCGGACCUCACGCUAUCAGAUGAGCCUAGGUCGGAUUAGCUAGUUGGUGGGGUAAUGGCCCACCAAGGCGACGAUCCGUAACUGGUCUGAGAGGAUGAUCAGUCACACUGGAACUGAGACACGGUCCAGACUCCUACGGGAGGCAGCAGUGGGGAAUAUUGGACAAUGGGCGAAAGCCUGAUCCAGCCAUGCCGCGUGUGUGAAGAAGGUCUUCGGAUUGUAAAGCACUUUAAGUUGGGAGGAAGGGCAGUAAGUUAAUACCUUGCUGCUUUGACGUUACCAACAGAAUAAGCACCGGCUAACUUCGUGCCAG